rnacentral:rRNA from 1 species
GUGGAUUAGAUACCCUGGUAGUCCGCACCGUAAACGAUGAUUACUCGUUGUUGGCGAUAUGACAGUCAGCGACCAAGCGAAAGCGAUAAGUAAUCCACCUGGGGAGUACGCCGGCAACGGUGAAACUCAAAGGAAUUGACGGGGGCCCGCACAAGCGGAGGAGCAUGUGGUUUAAUUCGAUGAUACGCGAGGAACCUUACCUGGGCUUGAAAGUUAGCGACCGGUCCUGAAAGGGAUCUUCCAGCAAUGGCGCGAAACUAGGUGCUGCACGGCCGUCGUCAACU